UUCGUGAGCGAGCGCUUGCUUCGAACGGACGUCUUUAAGAACGCCCUCGCAUGCCACGCCCCCUUCGAGAGGCUUUUGGUAAAGAAAUACGCGACUGCAUAUUAAUUGCAAUAUCAAGAGCAAAACACUGAUCAGAUAUUGAUGGGACUCGAGAUCGAGCAGGAGAUUACUGCCCGCUGCAUUCCAAUCGGAAUAUUCCACUUCCAUUUCGUUCAUAAAACGCGCGCGUUUUUCGUCGCGCCGAUCGUUAGAAAUUCAUUAAGGCUUGUUAAUCGCCGCCAAUAAUACAAAUAAUACAAGUAAUCGCAUUGAUUGCCCAUAAUUGAUACUCGCCGUGUGUGUGAGAGUGAGUGCCUGUGUGUGAGUGCGAUAUAGCAUCCGCCGGUAAAUGUCCGCGAAAAGGAACGCGAAUCUGGAUCUUCCGCAGACUUGAUGCCGACGUAGCUGAAGAUAUACCUCCGGUCCAGCAGCUGGACUCGAAAUGUCACGACGCAAACAGUCCAACCCGAAGCCGUUGAAUAAAGGUGAGCUACAAGUUUAGUUUUAUCAAGUCGGGGUUUAGUCGACGACCUUCUUUUUAUAGCACCUGUGCAGUUAUCUGCAACCAUUAUUUUGCCUCAACGAACAAAUGCACUUUUGUAAAUUACACUUUGUCAUUACAAAGCUAUCUCGUAACUCUCCACUAAUCACGAUCGCUUUUCCCAUCUGACCGCAAGCUGACCCAUUCAAUUUCGCUGGCUUGCUCAGCAGCUCUCGUUUUUUGACAGCAAAACAUGCGGACGAACACACAGCAAACACAGAAAUCCAAGAAAUUGAUUAACUAUGCCAAGACAAAGCAGCCAACAAAAAUUCAAAACGAAACGAGUGACGAACGAUAAAUCCAAGAUUUUGUGACUGCAUGAAACCCGAUAUUAAAAUGAUUUAUUUAAGCAUUGAUAACGUUCAACGAUCGUCCAAAGCGAUCGUUGUCACCAGGAAAAGAGAUAGAAGUGGGGUUUUGCAGCAUUCUGUAUAUUUUCAAAGACGUACUCCAACGGCACGGAUCUUAUAAAAUGAAAGGGUGCUCAAAAAGUAGCCAACUUUUCUUGCUCAUUUAAAUAAAAUUUCUUUGUCGUCUCGUUAUCGAUGUCGAUACCUGUUGUACGUGCAGCUGACACACCUCAUAAGCAUUGUGGGGGAAGCGCGAAGAGAGAGGAGAGAAGAGAGAGUGUUACGAAGCGCGGAGAGUGUCAACUAAUUACAUUUCGCUGUUUGCCAUUUGAUAUAUUUAUGGCCCGAACCAUUUGACACCCAAUGAAUGCAUUUCGGAAUCGAAAUCGAUAAAACGUGCCGGACCUGCGACACUGGACACCCCGACCACCUGAACUCACCUCAGUUUCCGCCCCCCGAAGUCCGCACGGUUAGUUGCUUAUCCAUUUUGCCAUUUUGGCCUUCUUAUCGCUUUUGCUGCUUCUGCUCGAAGCACGUUUCCCGACUGGCUGACUCUGCCCCACCCAACACCCAUCUGAACGUAGCCCCCAGAACCCAUUUCCAUUCCGUCCGAUCCCACAUCCAACAAAUACCCAACGAGUGAUAUCAACGCGACUCAUGCAAGUGGGACUUGCACAGUAAGACGCCAUCUAUAUCUCGAGACGGGCCAUACACUCUGUAUAUAGAUCAAGAAACUAUUGAAGAACGUUUGAUUCGAUAAGCGCUUAUGGAUACAAGUUAGUUGGCAAUAAUUCAAGCUGUAUAUUGAGUCAUUUAUAGUUCUAGAACUGUCUUUAAUUUCAAUAGAAAUUAUAUUCCACAUAACCUUCCGAAAGCAUCAGGCUU
ensembl:ncRNA lncRNA:CR46258 long non-coding RNA:CR46258